AUAAUAUAGUAUAUGGAUAGGAGAAGGUGGGGAUAAUAUAGUUUAUGGAUAGGAGAAGGUGGGGAUAAUACAGUAUAUGGAUAGGAGAAGGUCGGGAUAAUAUAGUUUAUGGAUAGGAGAAGAUUGGAAUAAUACAGUAUAUGGAUAUGUGAAGGUGGGGGUUUACAGUAUAUGGAUAGGAGAGGGUGGAUAUAAUACAGUAUAUGGAUAGGACUAGGUAGGGAUAAUAUAGUUUAUGGAUAGGAGAAGAUUGGAAAAAUACAGUAUAUGGAUAGGAGAAGGUGGGGGUUUACAGUAUAUGGAUAGGAGAGGUGGAUAUAAUACAGUAUAUGGAAAGGAGAAGGUAGGGAUAAUAAAAUAUAAAGAUUGUAGAUAGGAGAAGGUGGGGAUAAUAUAGUAUAUGAAUAGGAAUAGGAUGGGAUAAUAUAGUAUAUGGAAAGAAGAUGGAACGGCUUGAGAGUAGUAAACGUAAAUUAGGUUGGAAAUAGUUUGUGGUUAGGAUAAAGGGAGGUUCUUUCAAGACGGAGAAAAUUCCGGAGAUUUAGAUUUAUAGUUUGGUCCGGGUGUGUAUAGAUAGGAAAUAGAAGGAUUCUCCAUAGUUCUAAAUAUAAGAUAACCAUUUGAGAAAUUGAAAGCGGGAGGAGGAGGAGGAGAAGAAGGAGAAGGGGCGGAUAGAUGCUAGAGGAGGAACCAGCCUCCAAACCAUACACUGGAGGCCAACAUCACAGCCUUUCCAAUCCCACUCAUCCUUCUCUAUCCGGGAGAAGAGGUCACAGUUGUAUCCGUGCUCCCGUCCACGACGGUUCUCAACCAUGCGGUUUGUUCUUCUCCGGGUACAGUUCUCUUCUUACUCCGUAGAAUCAUCCGACUGGGACGUAAAGGAUCCUUUCCGACUGCUGGUUUUGGAUUCAUCCUCAUACGACUAUUGGCAUUCGGCAGCCUUCAUGGAUGGAAACUAUGAAUAGCAUUAAUUUGAUCCCUAGCUGUAAAUAAAUUUUCAUUAAUCAUUUCAUUAUCGAAUAUAUUGUAGCAUUGUAUA